rnacentral:rRNA from 1 species
UACGGGGGGGGCAAGCGUUGUUCGGAAUUACUGGGCGUAAAGGGCUUGUAGGUGGCCAACUAAGUCAGACGUGAAAUCCCUCGGCUUAACCGGGGAACUGCGUCUGAUACUGGAUGGCUUGAGUGUGGGAGAGGGAUGCGGAAUUCCAGGUGUAGCGGUGAAAUGCGUAGAUACCUGGAGGAACACCGGUGGCGAAGGCGGCAUCCUGGACCAUUACUGACACUGAAAAGCGAAAGCCAGGGGAGCAAACGGG